GCCCGCCGCAGACAUAGGAGGUGCCAAAGAUGCAAUGAAGGAGAGCUUUGUGGUAGAGCAAUCGGAACCGCUGGCCAAUCCAAAGGAUAGUGGCGAGCCAAAGCGUAAGGUCGUGAAGCGCAACAGUAAGCUAGAGAAGGACAGGGAGUUGUUGCAACUUGCCCAGAGGUACCAUGGAGUGGUAGCGGAGAGGGAUGCAGGCAAGUUUCUGUUAUCCAAAAUGUGACCCCGAUGUUUAGUUCUCCAACAGUUGAAUGUAAUGGAUAAAUCCGUUGGUUACUCUCAGUUAAGGAUCCACUGUUAAAAAACCCACAGCUGUCCUUUGUUUGGAAUAAAGUUAUCUAAUAACCAUGUUAAUAUAUAACGUGUGGUAAUUUGGAAACUUCUGGAUUCUUCUCAUUAAACAAAACAAAACCUAUAUAACUAAAUACCACUCUGUUUUUUUCCUUUGUAUGCACACUCGUAAAAUCCUUCCUACCUUAAAAUGUAUUCUUUUGGUCUUUCAUCAGAAAUUAUAGCAUGGAACAUCUGCUGGACCAGACACAUUUAGCAAGAAGAACAUAGCGAAAUCUCCUUUCUGCUUCUUCCAUGGACAAAUGUCCACUCUAUAUAGGAAAGAUGCAUUAUACGAUCGUUCCAUCACUAUAUAAAUGUAUUCAUUUAUUUGAAAUUGAAAAAAGCCCAUUUUACUACCUUGAAUAAAGUGGGUGGUUCACUUUACCCCUUGAUCUAUUUUUCUGCUUCUUUUACCCCCCAAACAAACCCAAACCGGAC